UGGGGAAUAUUGCACAAUGGGCGCAAGCCUGAUGCAGCCAUGCCGCGUGUAUGAAGAAGGAAUUAGGGUUGUAAAGUAAUUUCAGAGGGGAGGAAGGUGUUGUGGUUAAUAACCACAGCAAUUGACGUUACCCGCAGAAGAGGCACCGGCUAACUCCGUGCCAGCAGCCGCGGUAAUACGGAGGGUGCAAGCGUUAAUCGGAAUUACUGGGCGUAAAGCGCACGCAGGCGGUCUGUCAAGUCGGAUGUGAAAUCCCCAGGCUCAACCUGGGAACUGCAUCCGAAACUGGCAGGCUUGAGUCUUGUAGAGGGGGGUAGAAUUCCAGGUGUAGCGGUGAAAUGCGUAGAGAUCUGGAGGAAUACCGGUGGCGAAGGCGGCCCCCUGGACAAAGACUGACGCUCAGGUGCGAAAGCGUGGGGAGCAAACA
rnacentral:rRNA from 1 species